rfam:Hordeum vulgare subsp. vulgare, WGS project CAJW01000000 data, contig: morex_contig_38314
UAUAUACUCCCUCCGUCCCAAAAUUCUUGUCUUAUUGUCUAAAAAUGGAUGUAUCUAAGUACUAAAACAUAACUAGAUGCAUUCAUAUCUAUACAAAUGUAAGACAAGAAUUUUGGGACGGAGGGAGUAGUUU